GGGGUCGUGGGCUAGUAUGGCAUGCUGCCGAGCUCGGGCCUCGGUGAUCGUGGGUUCAAAUCCCACCGACCCCACCA
rnacentral:tRNA from 1 species